UACGGAAGGCAGCAGUGGGGAAUAUUGCACAAUGGGCGAAAGCCUGAUGCAGCUAUGCCGCGUGUAUGAAGAAGGCCUUAGGGUUGUAAAGUACUUUCAUCGGGGAGGAAAAAACAAAACUAAUAAUUUUAUUUCUUGACGUUACUCGAAAAAGAAGCACCGGCUAACUCCGUGCCAGCAGCCGCGGUAAUACGGAGGGUGCUAGCGUUAAUCAGAAUUACUGGGCGUAAAGAGCACGUAGGUGGUUUUUUUAAGUCAGAUGUGAAAUCCCUGGGCUUAACCUAGGAACUGCAUUUUGAAACUGAAAUACUAGAGUAUCGUAGAGGGAGGUAGAAUUCUAGGUGUAGCGGUGAAAUGCGUAGAUAUCUGGAGGAAUACCUGUGGCGAAAGCGGCCUCCUAAACGAAUACUGACACUGAGGUGCGAAAGCGUGGGGAGCAAACGAGGGAUUAGAUACCCGU
rnacentral:rRNA from 1 species